GAUGCUUCGGUUGAUUUUUAAAACGGACAGCGGCGAAAGGGAGAGUAACGAGUAGAUACGUACCCAAGGGUUCGGGAUAGCCAUGCGAAAGCGUGAGUAAUACCGAAUAAUGUCUCCGGACCAAAGAUUUAUUGCCCUUGGAGCGGUUUGCUUACUAUUAGCUUGUUGGUGGGGUAAAGGCCUACCAAGGCUUAGAUGGUUAGCGGGUGUGAGAGCAUGACCCGUCUCACUGGGACUGAGACACUGCCCAGACACCUACGGGUGGCUGCAGUCGAGAAUCUUCCGCAAUGGACGAAAGUCUGACGGAGCGACGCCGCGUGCUGGAUGAAGGCCCUCGGGUUGUAAACAGCUGUCGUAGGGGAGGAAAUUUUGACCGAUCCUAGGAGGAAGCACAGGCUAAGUUCGUGCCAGCAGCCGCGGUAAUACGAACUGUGCAAACGUUAUUCGGAAUCACUGGGCUUAAAGGGUGCGUAGGCGGGUUGGUAGGUCAGAUGUGAAAGCCCACGGCUCAACCGUGGAAUUGCGUUUGAAACCACUAGUCUUGAGGGGAUCAGAGGAGAGCGGAACUGAUGGUGGAGCGGUGAAAUGCGUUGAUAUUAUCAGGAACACCGGUGGCGAAAGCGGCUCUCUGGGAUCCUUCUGACGCUGAGGCACGAAAGCUAGGGGAGCGAACGGGAUUAGAUACCCCGGUAGUCCUAGCUGUAAACGAUCUGUACUAGUCCGUGGGGACCCCCACAUCUUCUCGGACGUAGCGAAAGUG
rnacentral:rRNA from 1 species